rfam:Homo sapiens chromosome 17, GRCh38 reference primary assembly.
GGUAAGAUGGCUGAGCAAAGCAUUAGACUGUAAAUCUAAAAACUCUCUUUUUACCA